rnacentral:rRNA from 1 species
GCUCCCUGAUGUUAGCGGCGGACGGGUGAGUAACACGUGGGUAACCUGCCUGUAAGACUGGGAUAACUCCGGGAAACCGGGGCUAAUACCGGAUGCUUGUUUGAACCGCAUGGUUCAAACAUAAAAGGUGGCUUCGGCUACCACUUACAGAUGGACCCGCGGCGCAUUAGCUAGUUGGUGAGGUAACGGCUCACCAAGGCGACGAUGCGUAGCCGACCUGAGAGGGUGAUCGGCCACACUGGGACUGAGACACGGCCCAGACUCCUACGGGAGGCAGCAGUAGGGA